rnacentral:rRNA from 1 species
GACGAACGCUGGUGGCGUGCUUAACACAUGCAAGUCGAACGGUGAAGCGCCUUCCUUUUUGGUGGGUGUGGAUGAGUGGCGAACGGGUGAGUAACACGUGAGUAACCUGCCCCCUUCUUCUGGAUAACCGCAUGAAAGUGUGGCUAAUACGGGAUAUUCUGGGUCUGUCGCAUGAUGGGUCUGGGAAAGAUAUUGUUUCGGUGGGGGAUGGGCUCGCGGCCUAUCAGCUUGUUGGUGGGGUGAUGGCCUACCAAGGCGGUGACGGGUAGCCGGCCUGAGAGGGUGGACGGUCACACUGGGACUGAGACACGGCCCAGACUCCUACGGGAGGCAGCAGUGGGGAAUACUGCACAAUGGGCGCAAGCCUGAUGCAGCGACGCCGCGUGAGGGAUGGAGGCCUUCGGGUUGUGAACCUCUUUCGCCAGUGAAGCAGGCCUGCCUCGUUUGUGGGUGGGUUGACAGUAGCUGGAUAAGAAGCGCCGGCUAACUACGUG